AAAAAGGCCCUUUUCAGGGCCACACAACCCACCAGCAUGUUCAG
rfam:Asian citrus Psyllid, Diaphorina citri - Florida Strain, whole genome shotgun sequence.